GACGAACGCUGGCGGCGUGCCUAAUACAUGCAAGUAGAACGCACAGUUUAUACCGUAGCUUGCUACACCAUAGACUGUGAGUUGCGAACGGGUGAGUAACGCGUAGGUAACCUGCCUGGUAGCGGGGGAUAACUAUUGGAAACGAUAGCUAAUACCGCAUAAUAUUGAUUAUUGCAUGAUAAUUGAUUGAAAGAUGCUAUUGCAUCACUACCAGAUGGACCUGCGUUGUAUUAGCUAGUAGGGGAGGUAACGGCUCACCUAGGCGACGAUACAUAGCCGACCUGAGAGGGUGAUCGGCCACACUGGGACUGGGACACGGCCCAGACUCCUACGGGAGGCAGCAGUAGGGAAUCUUCGGCAAUGGACGAAAGUCUGACCGAGCAACGCCGCGGGAGUGAAGAAGGGUUUCGGAUCGGAAAGCUCUGUUGUAAGAGAAGAACGGGGGUGGGAGUGGAAAGUUCACACUGUGACGGUAUCUUACCAGAAAGGGACGGCUAACUACGUG
rnacentral:rRNA from 1 species